rnacentral:rRNA from 1 species
AUUGAACGCUGGCGGCAUGCUUUACACAUGCAAGUCGAACGGUAACAGGUCUUCGGAUGCUGACGAGUGGCGAACGGGUGAGUAAUACAUCGGAACGUGCCUAGUAGUGGGGGAUAACUACUCGAAAGAGUAGCUAAUACCGCAUGAGAUCUACGGAUGAAAGCAGGGGACCUUCGGGCCUUGUGCUACUAGAGCGGCUGAUGGCAGAUUAGGUAGUUGGUGGGGUAAAGGCUUACCAAGCCUGCGAUCUGUAGCUGGCCUGAGAGGACGACCAGCCACACUGGGACUGAGACACGGCCCAG